GAACGCGAAGAACCUUACCAAGGCUUAAAUGGGAAUUGAUCGGUUUAGAAAUAGACCUUCCUUCGGGCAAUUUUCAAGGUGCUGCAUGGUUGUCGUCAGCUCGUGCCGUGAGGUGUUAGGUUAAGUCCUGCAACGAGCGCAACCCCUGUCACUAGUUGCCAUCAUUCAGUUGGGGACUCUAGUGAGACUGCCUACGCAAGUAGAGAGGAAGGUGGGGAUGACGUCAAAUCAUCACGGCCCUUACGCCUUGGGCCACACACGUAAUACAAUGGCCGGUACAGAGGGCAGCUACACAGCGAUGUGAUGCAAAUCUCGAAAGCCGGUCUCAGUUCGGAUUGGAGUCUGCAACUCGACUCUAUGAAGCUGGAAUCGCUAGUAAUCGCGCAUCAGCCAUGGCGCGGUGAAUACGUUCCCGGGUCUUGUACACACC
rnacentral:rRNA from 1 species